GAUGAACGCUGGCGGCGUGCCUAAUACAUGCAAGUCGAGCGAACAGACGAGGAGUUUGCUCCUCUGACGUUAGCGGCGGACGGGUGAGUAACACGUGGAUCACCUCCCUAUACGACUGGGAUAACUUCGGGAAACCGGCGCUAAUACCGGAAAAUAUAUUGAACCGCAUGGUUCAAUAGUGAAAGACGGUUUUGCUGUCACUUAUAGAUGGAUCCGCGCCGCAUUAGCUAGUUGGUAAGGUAACGGCUUACCAAGGCAACGAUGCGUAGCCGCCCUGAGAGGGGGAUCGGCCACCCUGGAACUGAGCCACGGUCCAGCCUCCUACGGGAGGCAGCAGUAGGGAAUCUUCCGCAAUGGGCGAAAGCCUGACGGAGCAACGCCGCGUGAGUGAUGAAGGUCUUCGGAUCGUAAAACUCUGUUAUUAGGGAAGAACAAAUGUGUAAGUAACUAUGCACGUCUUGACGGUACCUAAUCAGAAAGCCACGGCUAACUACGUG
rnacentral:rRNA from 1 species